GAGAGGGGUACCUGUAAAGUGCAAAAAGGAAGAAAAUUGGAACGAAUCGAACGAAACAAUACAAAAUGAAAUGACAGUCAUAUAUACUGAAAAUAUAAUGUAUAAAACUAACCAGAGGCAAAUAGUUGAAUAAAUGUAUAAGCGAUUAAUUUCAUUAACAAUGUAAAUUUCUCAAAAGUGGAGAAUUCAUUUUAAAACAAAAAACACAGC
rnacentral:lncRNA from 1 species